UGGGGAAUUUUGGACAAUGGGCGAAAGCCUGAUCCAGCAAUGCCGCGUGUGUGAAGAAGGCCUUCGGGUUGUAAAGCACUUUUGUCCGGAAAGAAAUCCUUGGCUCUAAUACAGUCGGGGGAUGACGGUACCGGAAGAAUAAGCACCGGCUAACUACGUGCCAGCAGCCGCGGUAAUACGUAGGGUGCAAGCGUUAAUCGGAAUUACUGGGCGUAAAGCGUGCGCAGGCGGUUUGCUAAGACCGAUGUGAAAUCCCCGGGCUCAACCUGGGAACUGCAUUGGUGACUGGCAGGCUAGAGUAUGGCAGAGGGGGGUAGAAUUCCACGUGUAGCAGUGAAAUGCGUAGAGAUGUGGAGGAAUACCGAUGGCGAAGGCAGCCCCCUGGGCCAAUACUGACGCUCAUGCACGAAAGCGUGGGGAGCAAACAGGAUUAGAUACCCUGGUAGUCCACGCCCUAAACGAUGUCACUAGUUGUUGGGGAUUCAUUUCCUUAGUAACGUAGCUAACGCGUGAAGUUGACCGCCU
rnacentral:rRNA from 1 species